UCCGUACAGACGCCUAGAAGCAAACACCAUGGCGAAAGCCGGGGAUAAGAGCGGCAGCCGGGGAAAGAAAAGCCUGAAACGGAAAGCGACCGCCGAAGAACCUCAGGAGGCUGCAGCCGCUGAGGAUGGGGCGCCGGAAAGCGGGGUCCAACUCCCGAAAGCGGCUGCCUUCCCCCCGGGUUUCAGCAUUUCGGAAAUUAAGAACAAACAACGGCGACACUUAAUGUUCACGCGGUGGAAACAGCAGCAGCGUAAGGAAAAGUUGGCAAUUAAGAAAAAACUUAAGAAAGAGAGAGAAGCUCUUGGUGACAAGGCUCCACCAAAGCCUAUACCAAAGACCACUGACAACCAGAGAGUAUAUGAUGAAACUGUAGUAGACCCUAAUGAUGAAGAGGUUGCUUAUGAUGAAGCUACAGAUGAAUUUGCUUCUUACUUCAACAGACAAACUUCUCCCAAGAUUCUCAUCACAACAUCAGAUAGACCUCAUGGGAGAACAGUACGACUCUGUGAACAGCUCUCCACAGUUAUACCAAACUCACAUGUUUAUUACAGAAGAGGACUGGCUCUGAAAAAAAUUAUUCCACAGUGCAUUUCAAGAGAUUUCACAGAUCUGAUCGUUAUUAAUGAAGAUCGUAAAUCACCAAAUGGAUUAAUUCUAAGUCACUUGCCAAAUGACCCAACUGCUCAUUUUAAAAUGAGCAGUGUUCGUUUGCGUAAAGAAAUUAAGAGAAGAGGCAAGGACCCUACAGAACACAUACCUGAAAUAAUUUUGAAUAACUUUACAACGAGACUGGGUCAUUCUGUUGGGCGUAUGUUUGCAUCUCUCUUUCCCCAUAAUCCUCAGUUUAUUGGGAGGCAAGUUGCCACAUUCCACAAUCAACGGGACUAUAUCUUCUUCAGAUUUCAU